rnacentral:rRNA from 1 species
GACGAACGCUGGCGGCGUGCUUAACACAUGCAAGUCGAACGGAAAGGCCCUGCUUGCAGGGUGCUCGAGUGGCGAACGGGUGAGUAACACGUGGGUGAUCUGCCCCUUACUUUGGGAUAAGCCUGGGAAACUGGGUCUAAUACUGGAUAGGACCAUGCUGUAGGUGGUGUGGUGGAAAGAUUAGUUUCGGUAAGGGAUGAGCUCGCGGCCUAUCAGCUUGUUGGUGGGGUAAUGGCCUACCAAGGCGUCGACGGGUAGCCGGCCUGAGAGGGUGGACGGCCACAUUGGGACUGAGCUACGGCCCAGACUCGUACGGGAGGGAGAAGUGGGGAAUAUUGCACAAUGGGCGCAAGCCUGAGGCAGCGACGCCGCGUGGGGGAUGACGGCUUUCGGGUUGUAAACUCCUUUCAGCCAUGACGAAGCCCUUGUGGUGACGGUAGUGGUAGAAGAAGCACCGGCUAACUACGUG